rnacentral:rRNA from 1 species
UACGUAGGGUGCGAGCGUUAAUCGGAAUUACUGGGCGUAAAGCGUGCGCAGGCGGUUCGUUGUGUCUGAUGUGAAAGCCCCGGGCUCAACCUGGGAAUGGCAUUGGAAACUGGCGAGCUAGAGUAUGGCAGAGGGGGGUGGAAUUCCGCGGUGUAGCAGUGAAAUGCGUAGAGAUGUGGAGGAACACCGAUGGCGAAGGCAGCCCCCCUGGGGUUAACACUGACGCUCAGGCACGAAAGCGUGGGGAGCAAACAGG